rnacentral:rRNA from 1 species
UGCAGUCGUACGCUUCUUUUUCCACCGGAGCUUGCUCCACCGGAAAAAGAAGAGUGGCGAACGGGUGAGUAACACGUGGGUAACCUGCCCAUCAGAAGGGGAUAACACUUGGAAACAGGUGCUAAUACCGUAUAACAAUCGAAACCGCAUGGUUUUGAUUUGAAAGGCGCUUUCGGGUGUCGCUGAUGGAUGGACCCGCGGUGCAUUAGCUAGUUGGUGAGGUAACGGCUCACCAAGGCCACGAUGCAUAGCCGACCUGAGAGGGUGAUCGGCCACAUUGGGACUGAGACACGGCCCAAACUCCUACGGGAGGCAGCAGUAGGGAAUCUUCGGCAAUGGACGAAAGUCUGACCGAGCAACGCCGCGUGAGUGAAGAAGGUUUUCGGAUCGUAAAACUCUGUUGUUAGAGAAGAACAAGGAUGAGAGUAACUGUUCAUCCCUUGACGGUAUCUAACCAGAAAGCCACGGCUAACUACGUGCCAGCAGCCGCGGUAAUACGUAGGUGGCAAGCGUUGUCCGGAUUUAUUGGGCGUAAAGCGAGCGCAGGCGGUUUCUUAAGUCUGAUGUGAAAGCCCCCGGCUCAACCGGGGAGGGUCAUUGGAAACUGGGAGACUUGAGUGCAGAAGAGGAGAGUGGAAUUCCAUGUGUAGCGGUGAAAUGCGUAGAUAUAUGGAGGAACAUCAGUGGCGAAGGCGGCUCUCUGGUCUGUAACUGACGCUGAGGCUCGAAAGCGUGGGGAGCAAACAGGAUUAGAUACCCUGGUAGUCCACGCCGUAAACGAUGAGUGCUAAGUGUUGGAGGGUUUCCGCCCUUCAGUGCUGCAGCUAACGCAUUAAGCACUCCCGCCUGGGGAGUACGACCGCAAG